rnacentral:rRNA from 1 species
GACGAACGCUGGCGGCGUGCCUAAUACAUGCAAGUCGAGCGGAGUCUGAAAGGAAGCUUGCUUCCUUUCAGACUUAGCGGCGGACGGGUGAGUAACACGUAGGCAACCUGCCCUCAAGCCUGGGAUAACUACCGGAAACGGUAGCUAAUACCGGAUAAUUUCUUUUUUCUCCUGAGGAGAGAAUGAAAGGCGGAGCAAUCUGCUGCUUGGGGAUGGGCCUGCGGCGCAUUAGCUAGUUGGUGGGGUAACGGCCCACCAAGGCGACGAUGCGUAGCCGACCUGAGAGGGUGAACGGCCACACUGGGACUGAGACACGGCCCAG